rnacentral:lncRNA from 1 species
UUUAAUUAUUAUUAUAUUAGUUGUGAAAAUGGCUUUCUACCUCUCGGGGUAGUUUAUUUUUAAAGGAAAAAGUUUUUGUGUGGAAAACGCUUUUAAAAAGUGUUUUUUGCUUUUCAUAAUUUUUGUAUUUUAAAAUAAAUUUUCGGAUGGAAAAAUGUUUUAAACUGAUAGAUAUGGAUUUAUGAAUAAAAUAUUAUAAUCUUGUGAUUGACCGAAUGUGAUUCGUAUUAUGUGAUGUGGUGAAUGUAUAUAGUUGUAUACAUACUGUGGUUGUAUCUUGUACUUGUGCGAUGCUAUACAAAUAUAGAAAAAAUUCUGUCCAUUUGAACAAUGGA